UACGGAAGGGGCAAGCGUUGUCCGGAUUUAUUGGGCGUAAAGAGCGUGUAGGCGGCCAGGUAGGUCCGUUGUGAAAACUAGAGGCUCAACCUCUAGACGUCGAUGGAAACCAUCUGGCUAGAGUCCGGAAGAGGAGAGUGGAAUUCCUGGUGUAGCGGUGAAAUGCGCAGAUAUCAGGAAGAACACCCGUGGCGAAGGCGGCUCUCUGGGACGGUACUGACGCUGAGACGCGAAAGCGUGGGGAGCGAACAGG
rnacentral:rRNA from 1 species